AGCUAAAAAUUUUGCUUCAAACGACGGGACAUAAGAUAACUCGAUCAACUACUCACAUUCAAAGACAAAUUGCUUUGGAAAUGUUUGGAACCUCAAGAAUAGAUUUCGCUUUGGACAAACAGAAUAAAUAUUAGCAAGAGGGAGGGAGGGGGCUUCUCACCCCUCAUUCGCUAACAUUACAUUGAUAUCAGAGGAAGCCUUUGAUUUCUCCGAUUUUUUAAUGUGAAGGUAAGUUCCCGAGAAAUAGACACUGUACUAUCCGAUAACACCGUUAUUGUAACCAGCAAAAAUGGUUGAUGUGAUUUGCGAGGCGUCUGUCAGCCAACUGUCUGACAUUAGCACGUUAGCCUACGUUAGAAAGACUGGCGUUCUUGCAGCGU
ensembl:lncRNA